rnacentral:rRNA from 1 species
UACGUAGGGAGCAAGCGUUGUCCGGAAUCAUUGGGCGUAAAGCGCGCGUAGGCGGCCCUCUAAGUCAGACGUGAAAUCCCUCGGCUCAACCGGGGAACUGCGUCUGAGACUGGAAGGCUUGAAUUCGGGAGAGGGAUGUGGAAUUCCAGGUGUAGCGGUGAAAUGCGUAGAUAUCUGGAGGAACACCGGUGGCGAAGGCGGCAUCCUGGACCGAUAUUGACGCUGAUGCGCGAAAGCCAGGGGAGCAAACGGG